UACAUGAAAAAAGUGAUGACUUCUAUUUUAAUAGUAUAGAAGUAUUCUGUUAUUUAUUUAUUUUUUUUCUUUGAAAUUCUUGAACCUAUAUAUCUGUCGACAAAUAAGAUAUAAAAUGUUUGUUAUAUACUUCCUGCGUUUCAGAAUAAUACAUGUUUUAAGAUUUUCAUGUUUAUUGUAGUUUUAUAUUUCUUAUAUUUCUAAACCAAUAAAACUUCAAAAAAUGUAAUUAAUGUUCUCGAAGUUCACAAUUUUUCAUUAUUAAUUGACAAAAGUUGCAUUAAAAAUAUAAAAAAUAUAUUUUUUUUGAAACAACUUUUUUUUAAACUAUUUAACUUUUUGAAACGGAGGGAAUAUAUUUUUUUCUCGUCUCGUGGAAGAAUUUACAGAAGUGAUUUUUCGAGUAUAGCGUUCUUUGAUGAAUCUUCCUCUAAGCAUAUGAUUUUCUUUGUAUGUAGGCACUUUUAUUUCACCCAACAAUCUGAACCAGUAGCAAAGUUCAACCUCCUUCCGUUCUCAGAGCUGUUAUAAAGAUGGAGAAAAGGAAAUAAGGAUGUAGCAAUUAAAUAAGGAUAUAUCAAUUAAUAAUUAUAAACAUAGUAGCGAUUUGUAUUUGGCCCGACAAACUAAAUGUCAGUGGCACUGCAUGUAAAUUCUCUAGCAACUAAAUUUUGACCCGCCCUCGCAGAGAGCGGAUAUAUUUUUGGUUGAUUAUUUAUAAAAUUAUUGGGUGAAAGUUAUGUGUUUUGAUUAGAUAGAUGUCAUUUGAAAUUUUAUUUUGCAAAAUGAGAAAAUGUAAUUUUGUUUUUCAAACAUUGUUUUUAUCCCUUAGUUUUGUACUUGCGCAAGACUUGAAAUUUAGAAAAAUAUGUUAAAAAGAAUAAUUAACUUUUUCAACAAUUUUGUAUCAAUAAUAUUAAAUGGACAUUAAAUACAUAAAAGUAUAUUUAAAAUGUGACUAAUAAUUAAUUCACUAACAAAAAGUUGUAACUACAUUUUAUAAAUAUUGAUAUUGAUAUUUAGAACGACAUGAUGAGUUUUUUACCAAACAUAUGAAGGUGAUUAAUUUUAUGUUUGGAGCAAACAUAUAAAAACUGGUUAUAUAAAUAUUUUUUAUUAAAAUCAUACUAAAUACCGACCCAACUCUAGUGCUCAAUACUCCUUUUAUUUUUGUCAAUCGACCCAACUCUAUUUUUUUACAACGACCCAAUUCUAGUAUUAAAGAGCUCAAAAAUAGAGAUAGAAUCAAUAAGUCCAUGUAAUCUGCAUUGCUUCUCUAGUGUGACCGUUCACGAAUUGAACUUAAAAAAAAACAAAAAAAAACUGGAUGAAGAAAAAAACAGAUAUUUUGUCUCUCGAACUUGGUAGAUGAAGGUGGAAGGUCAACCCGAUCAUCCUAAGGCGAUUUUAAUUGAACACAGAGAGGACAUUAGGCAAAAUAAAACAGCUAAGCUCUCUUUGAUUUUUUUACAUCAAGCUCUCUUUGAUUAUAGAACACUUAGUUACAUGGCUAAAUAUGUAUUUAGCUUUCUUUGAACUAUUUUGAUUUUGUCGAUUCACUACUUUUUUGUUGUAGAUUCUCUACUUAAUCUAAAUAUAAUAACAAACUUCUAACUUAUGUCAUUUGACUCAACAUUUGUCCUGCAAAGAGAGGUUUUCUUACUCAGGUAUUCAUUUUGUAAUACAUACAUAGAGUUUUGUUUCAUGACCCUGAAUCUAAUAAACUAUUGAAACCCUUGUCAACUUUCAGGUUCGAUCAAUGUCCCAAGUAAAAGCUUGUCAAAAAUCUCCUUAAAAAAACUGCGUUUCUCAGCAAAUCCAUGAGGGAGAAGUACUGCAGGCCUAACUGAGGAGUAUGACAGGACAGCUUCCGAUCCACUUAUCAUUUCCAACCUACUUAAUAGCUUGACUGCGCAUAUUUUAUGCAUUGCAGCUAACUCAUUCAUUAUCUAUGAGUUGUAGGUUGGUAAGAAUACGCUUGGAGUACGUGAGGAACAUCAGGAAGCUGUGCUUCUAUGAACUCAAGAAUCAUCGUCUUUAGUGGAACAGAAAUUCAUCUGCACAUAAACUGAAAAUUCGAAUGAAUACACGCUGGCCUCACUGCAGCUGAGCUACAUGAAAAAAUCUAACUCAAUCACAAUGUCUUGAUGAGUUGAGGAGAAAUCCCUAUUCUUCAAAAAUGGAUCAGGUGGAACUUGUAUUCUGUUUAUGUUCUCCAAGUUCAUAUAUUUUCUUAAUAAUAGUAGUUUUGUUUGCUUUGGCCUUCCACAUCGAUAGGAUGAUCCUGAGAAACCAUGUGUACGAUCAAAAACCAUAAAUUCAACUGUUUUUUUGUAGAGGGAAACGUAACUGCUAAAGUUAGAGAGAAAAAGAUCGUGGUUCUGCUUUUAAUUAAAGUAGAUACAAUUAUAAAAUUAUUUGAAAUUUUUUUA